rnacentral:rRNA from 1 species
CCUACGGGAGGCAGCAGUGGGGAAUAUUGCACAAUGGGCGAAAGCCUGAUGCAGCAACGCCGCGUGCGGGAUGAAGGCCCUAGGGUUGUAAACCGCUUUCAGCAGGGAAGAAAAUGACGGUACC